ACACGCUUAGAUUGAUUUACCUAUUUAUGGGUACUUGCUUCACUCAUAUAUGGGUAAAUGCAAUUAUACCAAUAUUAUUAGUAAAAUUUACCUAAGAAAUCGGUUAAAUUUACUGAUAUUCCGAAGAAACUGACUUUACCUAUAUAUGAGUGAUCGCAUUUACCCAUAUUUGGGUGAAAAAAUAAACAUAACAAAUUCGACUUGAUGGCCACCAUUCACAGUAGUUUUGAAGUUUUCUCUGUUUUUUCCUCGAUUCAGUUCGACCAAUAUUUGUGUAAUUCCGAGUGCAGUUCUUGAUGUGAGCGUUUCGUUUGGAACUUCUCCAAAAUCUUAACCAGUUCCGAUCAGUCUGAGCAGCUGUCGGAUAUCGACCUUGCAAGUGUUCUUUUGCGAGAAACAGGUCUAGCUCCCGAGCCAUCGGUGGAAAACUUCUAGCAGCUGCGAGUCUCUGACCCCGGAUUAGGUCAUUCUUGAGAGCUACCAUCAGUGCUACGGAAUCGAUCCGCCAGCAACCAUCGUAUUUUCCCACUGAAAGCUCCGCGGAUGUCCCGAGAAAGUUGCAGAUUCCCAAUCAACCAGACCCCAUUGCGCAGGAAUUAACCAUUGGUCCUAUAAAUCAUAAAGAAAAUGAAACCAUUUCCUCAUCUCGAGGUAAAAAUCGAACGACUUGUCCUGUGCGGGUGCGAAUAUUGACGGCAUAUGGCACCGAGCCUGGCACCCAAGACAUAAAUGGACUUAUUUAAAUUCUCAAUGCCGAUAAAGUUAACACGAUCUGUUGCUAGAAGGUCGUCCAGCGGGCGUGAGAAAUCAUUUCCGGACAACUCCAAUGUAUCUCCAUGCUGCCUCGUCAUGUCGCUCCCGAAAGUUGCUGAUAAGAAGAACAGGUCAAAAAAAGGAAAAAAAGAAAAAUUUCAGUCGGAUCGUUCAAGACAGGAGCAUCACCAGAGAGAAAUAAAACGUAAACCAAGGAGGAGUUAUUCUUUUUGUUGCACCAAGAGCUACUGUCUGAUGUUGCUGCUCAAGAUCUCGAUGCGGUCAGUCGCGACGUUUCAUCAAUCGAUCCAACAACAUCAGUUAUCUUCUACAGACACCAUUCCGCACAGCUAACAUGUGAUCCGGUGCUUGAUGCGAUUGAUGUUUCCUCCCUUCCUGAUGAGCAGCUGAGGGAUGUUCCGGUUCGUCUGGAAUUGUUACCAUAAACGAAAUGCCAUGACAUGCCGUAAAUUAAAUCUCCUGGAGCUGCUUGUAUUACAGUAAUAGCCAGGCUUCCAGCAAAUGUAUAUCAUAUAAAUAUUUUUCUAAUGCAAUAAAAUAAUUUGCUUAAUUUAUUUAUAUAUAUUUUUUUAUUACGUGAAAUAUGAAUUUUAUUCAAUGUGA